UGGGGAAUUUUGGACAAUGGGGGAAACCCUGAUCCAGCCAUCCCGCGUGUGCGUUGAAGGCCUUCGGGUUGUAAAGCACUUUUGGCAGGAAAGAAACGUCAUGGGUUAAUACCCCGUGAAACUGACGGUACCUGCAGAAUAAGCACCGGCUAACUACGUGCCAGCAGCCGCGGUAAUACGUAGGGUGCAAGCGUUAAUCGGAAUUACUGGGCGUAAAGCGUGCGCAGGCGGUUCGGAAAGAAAGAUGUGAAAUCCCAGAGCUCAACUUUGGAACUGCAUUUUUAACUACCGGGCUAGAGUGUGUCAGAGGGAGGUGGAAUUCCGCGUGUAGCAGUGAAAUGCGUAGAUAUGCGGAGGAACACCGAUGGCGAAGGCAGCCUCCUGGGAUAACACUGACGCUCAUGCACGAAAGCGUGGGGAGCAAACAGG
rnacentral:rRNA from 1 species